rnacentral:rRNA from 1 species
AGAGUUUGAUCCUGGCUCAGAACGAACGCUGGCGGCAGGCCUAACACAUGCAAGUCGAACGCCCGUAGCAAUACGGGAGUGGCAGACGGGUGAGUAACGCGUGGGAACCUUCCCAAUGGUACGGAAUAGCUCAGGGAAACUUGAGGUAAUACCGUAUACGCCCGAAAGGGGAAAGAUUUAUCGCCAUUGGAUGGGCCCGCGUAGGAUUAGCUAGUUGGUGAGGUAAUGGCUCACCAAGGCAACGAUCGGUAGCUGGUCUGAGAGGACGAUCAGCCACACUGGGACUGAGACACGGCCCAGACUCCUACGGGAGGCAGCAGUGGGGAAUAUUGGACAAUGGGCGCAAGCCUGAUCCAGCCAUGCCGCGUGAGUGAUGAAGGCCUUCGGGUUGUAAAGCUCUUUUGGCGGGGACGAUGAUGACGGUACCCGCAGAAUAAGCCCCGGCAAACUUCGUGCCAGCAGCCGCGGUAAGACGAAGGGGGCAAGCGUUGUUCGGAAUUACUGGGCGUAAAGGGCGCGUAGGCGGUUCUUUAAGUCAGGCGUGAAAGCCCUGGGCUCAACCCUGGGAGUGGCGC